CUUUGUCACGUGCGCGAAAUACUUUUCUCUGUUUCGGUGUUAGAAUACGUCAUUCUCGCACGUAUUUUAGUGUUAGUUUGAACUCUAUUCUUAAACGAUUUUUAGUGACUUUUUUUUUCGAGAGUUUGCAUAAGUUUGACAGUCGGCGUAUCGAUGACGGAAGCUGAUGUUAUGUGCCGUGAACGUCGAUCAUUUCUAAAUAACUUAAAGAUACGUAAUGUAAUUAACAAUAUCGAUAAUGUCCAUGUAAUAUACAUAUGUUACGGUAUGAACUGAUUGCAAGGGCAAAGUAAUUAUCAUAAAAUGAAGACCUCGAAAUAUACGAAUAAGUAUCUACUACUCUAAAGGAAACCAUUUUUAUUAAAAUGAACACAUUUUUGAUAUCGUAAGUUAUUAUAUUCGGAUAACUUUGGUCGAAGAUCCCACAUCGAAAGCUGCAUCCUUCACAUAAGGAGUUUUUGUCAAGAUUGAAGCGGAAUUUCCUCUACUAACUAACUGAAGCCAAAUUGCGUUACACUUCGUAUGCAGUUUGAGAUUUCGGGGGCCCAUUUUGUUUACAGUAUGAUAUCAGAAAGCCGUGCUAGCUUUAGCAACCUACGUCAAUACGAUUGAUCAAGUGACUGCUCUCAGUUGUCAGUAAUAAAUAAGUAAUGCGGAAUAAGAAUAAAACAGAAAGUAUAUGAAACUAAACAACUUGCUUAACUGUACAAAAUUAUACAUUAUGAAGAGGUGUUGUAAUUAUUGUAAAUAGUAAUUGUAACGGUUGAAUUUACUCCUGCAUUGACGGAAAUGCCGGGCAGAUUUUGCUGCGACACAUUAGUAUUUUCUGGGUUACUUAAUUCAGGCUGUAUAAAACCAGCAUUGGAACUGGAAGCUGUUGCUGGAGGAGCAGUAAAAGUAGACUGUCUAACUGAUGGAGGUCCACCACUGUUUGACAACAUUUCGGCAACUUCCAUUUUUUUGCUAAUGGAUGCCUCGAUGUAACCUUCUGCUACGGCAGAGCUCUUCCAGCCUCCAUGUUGUUUCACCGUAAUUAAAUCACCGCCACUAUUUGCCAAAUGUGACGCGGAAGACCUUCUAAAACAGUGCCCAGAAAAUAAAGCCCAUUCAGGUAGGUUGAGGUACUUUGCUAUAAUUCGUGGCAUUUCUCCCAUUUUAUUAAUGCCAAUGGGCUGUUUUGUGCAACGGCCACUUUUAUAAUAUAUAAAAAACCGUUGGUGGUUCACAUUGGAUGGUCUUAAACCAUAAUAUUUUUUUAUUAAAUGUAUCCAAUGCUCAUUUUUUAUUGCGAAUAAUCUUGGGUGAUGGGUUUUACUUUUUUUUAUUGUGACAAAAACCGAUUGACUUUUAUAUUCAAUGUCGUCAAGCUCGAUAUUAAUAAGCUCUUGACGUCUGCAGGCGCCCGAGUAACCCAUAAUUAAUAUUACCUAAAAAUAGUAUUGUAGUUUUAGUGUACAUGACAAAAUGUUAUGAACUCGCCUUUAUAACGAGAUAAUCCAUAUCCGGUGCAGCACUAAUAAAUUUUUCUAUAUCAUUAUAUUCCAGUAUCUUUGAUUUUUUGGGUACAAACCCUACCGAUAAUCGUUUCAAAAAUGCUUGAAGCUUCAUAAAUUUUGAAAUGUCAACGUUUUGUCGGAUGUUUAUCAUCAAUCGAAGCAUCGAGUAUGUCUUCCAUAAUGUAGAACUUUUGUAAGUCUUACUAAGAAUUUCGAAGUAUGCAAGCAAAACAUUUUCUGUGAGGGUUUGCACCUUGUUUUCAAUGCGCCAAGAUUCAAAUUUUUCAUACUCCUUUUGGUACUCAUUUUUAGACUUGGAUAGCACCAAAUCAUUUACCGCAUUAUCAGCUAAUUCACGCAAUUCCGGUGGUGUUGAAGUUAAUUCUUCGUCUGACAUUGUAGGCUCUUUAGUGAAAUGUAGGUAAUGGAUUUUAUUUUUCAAAUCUAAAGAUAAUUUCGCAAAAAUAUCUCGUGAAGAAAUUUGAAAGAUCGGUUACUAUGGAAACCAAGCAAAUAGUCAGUACUGCCAACACAAUUUAUAUCGAAAAUAUUUUUAAAUUUAUCCAUAAUUAAUAAACAAUGCGAAACGAGCCCGAAACAGAGAAAAUAGUAUAAAACAUUCGUUGCA